GAAAAGGAACAUUUGUUUGGAUCAUGGUGACUUUGGGAGAUGACAGGUGGCAAAGGUGUAAAAAAUCUUACGUCAAAGUUUAAAGUCAAUAUUUUUAUAUUUUCUUCGUAAUAGUAUUAGAAAUCACAUCAUGCAUUGCCAGAGAGUGUCG